AUACGGAGGAUCCGAGCGUUAUCCGGAUUUAUUGGGUUUAAAGGGUGCGCAGGCGGCCAUUUAAGUCCGCGGUUAAAUCGUGGGGCUCAACCCCAUUCUGCCGUUGAUACUGGGUGGCUUGAUUGCGGUCGAGGUUGGCGGAAUUCGUUGUGUAGCGGUGGAAUGCAUAGAUAUGACGAAGAACACCGAUUGCGUAGGCAGCUGACCAGACCGCAAAUGACGCUCAUGCACGAAAGUGCGGGGAUCGAACAGGAUUAGAUACCCUGGUAGUCCGCACAGUAAACGAUGAAUACUUGUUUUCGGCGAUAUAAUGUCGGAGGCAAAGCGAAAGCGAUAAGUAUUCCACCUGGGGAGUACGCCGGCAACGGUGAAACUUAAAGGAAUUGACGGUG
rnacentral:rRNA from 1 species